GAUGAACGCUGGCGGCGUGCCUAAUACAUGCAAGUCGAGCGAACAGACGAGGAGCUUGCUCCUCUGACGUUAGCGGCGGACGGGUGAGUAACACGUGGAUAACCUACCUAUAAGACUGGGAUAACUUCGGGAAACCGGAGCUAAUACCGGAUAAUAUAUUGAACCGCAUGGUUCAAUAGUGAAAGACGGUUUUGCUGUCACUUAUAGAUGGAUCCGCGCCGCAUUAGCUAGUUGGUAAGGUAACGGCUUACCAAGGCAACGAUGCGUAGCCGACCUGAGAGGGAGGUCGGCCACACUGGAACUGAGACACGGUACAGACUCCUACGGGAGGCAGCGGUAGGGAAUCUUCCGCAAUGGGCGAAAGCCUGACGGAGCAACGCCGCGUGAGUGAUGAAGGUCUUCGGAUCGUAAAACUCUGUUAUUAGGGAAGAACAAAUGUGUAAGUAACUAUGCACGUCUUGACGGUACCUAAUCAGAAAGCCACGGCUAACUACGUG
rnacentral:rRNA from 1 species